rnacentral:rRNA from 1 species
AACGAACGCUGGCGGCAUGCCUAACACAUGCAAGUCGAACGAGACCUUCGGGUCUAGUGGCGCACGGGUGCGUAACGCGUGGGAACCUGCCCUUAGGUUCGGAAUAACUCCCCGACAGGGGUGCUAAUACCGGAUAAUGUCUUCGGACCAAAGAUUUAUCGCCUUUGGAUGGGCCCGCGUUGGAUUAGCUAGUUGGUAGGGUAAAAGCCUACCAAGGCGACGAUCCAUAGCUGGUCUGAGAGGAGGAUCAGCCACACUGGGACUGAGACACGGCCCAGACUCCUACGGGAGGCAGCAGUGGGGAAUAUUGGACAAUGGGCGAAAGCCUGAUCCAGCAAUGCCGCGUGAGUGAUGAAGGCCUUAGGGUUGUAAAGCUCUUUUACCCGGGAUGAUAAUGACAGUACCGGGAGAAUAAGCUCCGGCUAACUCCGUG